CGAAGGAUGCAAGCGUUAUCCGGAUUCAUUGGGUUUAAAGGGAGCGUAGGCGGCCUUAUAAGUCAGUGGUGAAAUCUUUGGGCUUAACCCAAAAAUUGCCAUUGAUACUGUAGGGCUUGAGUACAGUUGCUGUGGGCGGAAUAUGACAUGUAGUGGUGAAAUACAUAGAGAUGUCAUAGAACACCGAUUGCGAAGGCAGCUCACAAAACUGUAACCGACGCUGAGGCUCGAAAGUGCGGGGAUCAAACAGGAUUAGAUACCCUGGUAGUCCGCACUGUAAACGAUGAUUACUCGCUGCUGGAAGGUAACUUUCAGUGGCUUAGCGAAAGCGAUAAGUAAUCCACCUGGGGAGUACGCCGGCAACGGUG
rnacentral:rRNA from 1 species